CCCACCCUGGCGGCGUGCUAAUACAUGCAGUCGAGCGAAUCAUGAGGUGCUUGACCUCUUGGUUAGCGGCGGACGGGUGAGUAACACGUGGGCAACCUGCCUGUAAGACUGGGAUAACUUCGGGAAACCGGAGCUAAUACCGGAUAAUCCUUUUCCUCUCAUGAGGAAAAGCUGAAAGUCGGUUUACGCUGACACUUACAGAUGGGCCCGCGGCGCAUUAGCUAGUUGGUGAGGUAACGGCUCACCAAGGCGACGAUGCGUAGCCGACCUGAGAGGGUGAUCGGCCACACUGGGACUGAGACACGGCCCAGACUCCUACGGGAGGCAGCAGUAGGGAAUCUUCCGCAAUGGACGAAAGUCUGACGGAGCAACGCCCGUGAGCGAUGAAGGCCUUCGGGUCGUAAAGCUCUGUUGAUAGGGAAGACAAGUACCGGAGUAACUGCCGGUACCUUGACGGUACCUAACCAGAAAGCCCGGCUAACUACGUGCCAGAGCCGG
rnacentral:rRNA from 1 species